AGAGACCAUGUUUGUAUACAGCUUUAUUAUUGACAGUUUUGAUAUUCAUUCAUCAAGAUCCAUUACACCGCAUGGCAUAACAAGCUGCUUAAUACUGAUAUAGAAAUAUACUUUCUUUCUUCAAACAUGCAUUCCAGAUGAAAUCCUGCGAUGGGUCAUGUCCGGUUGCCCGAGUACCUACCCGCUCGACCCCACCUCCAGACCUUCUCUGGAAACCUUCUUCCAUUCCUCACUUCCCUCAUCAACAAAUCCCUGACCACUGACUUCAAGAUGGCCAGAGUCGCUCCCCUCCUCAAGAAACCAACACUCAACCACUCUGACGUCAAAAACUAUAGACUGAUCUAUCUGCUGCCUUUGACACUGUGAACCAUUGGACCCUCCUCUCCUGCUCUCACUACUGGUGUCCCCCAGGGCUCGGUUCUAGGCCCUCUCCUUUUCUCUCUGUACACCAAGUCACUCGGCUCCGUCAUAUCCUCACAUGGUCUUGACCUAUCAUUGCUAUGUGGACGACUCUCAAUUACUUUUCUUUACCCCCUUCUGACACCCAGGUGCUGACACGCAUCUCUGCAUGCCUGGCGGACAUCACAGCUUGGAUGUCGGCCCACUACCUCAAGCUCAACCUCAACAAGACGGAGCAGCUCUUCCUCCCAGGGAAGGCCUGCCCGCUCCAAGACUUCUCCAUCACGGUUGACAACUCCACUGUGUCCCCCUC